rnacentral:rRNA from 1 species
AGAUUGAACGCUAGCGGGACGCUCUACACAUGCAAGUCGAACGGCAGCGCGGACUUCGGUCUGGCGGCGAGUGGCGAACGGGUGAGUAAUAUAUCGGAACGUGCCCAGUAGCGGGGGAUAACUACGCGAAAGCGUGGCUAAUACCGCAUACGCCCUACGGGGGAAAGGGGGGGAUCGCAAGACCUCUCACUAUUGGAGCGGCCGAUAUCAGAUUAGCUAGUUGGUGAGGUAAAGGCUCACCAAGGCGACGAUCUGUAGCUGGUUUGAGAGGACGACCAGCCACACUGGGACUGAGACACGGCCCAGACUCCUACGGGAGGCAGCAGUGGGGAAUUUUGGACAAGUGGGGGAAACCCUGACUCCAGCCA